rnacentral:lncRNA from 1 species
GUCUGUAUGAGCUGUUGGCUGUUGUGCCAGGCCGGCUGGGGCCACGUGUGGACAGCCAGGAAGACCUGACCUUCCUCUGGGAUAUGUUUGGUGAGAAAAGCCUGCAUUCACCGGUAAAGGUAAAACCAUGCUGAUGUCAGAUUCUCUUGGUGGGAAAACAUAUGGAAAAAUAUUUUGUCAUCUCAUGCUUUGUUCUGUCCUCCCCUAUUCUCUAUGCAGAAGUUACUCGUCGAGCACCAUUUUCCUUUAGGUUAGUGAUUUCUGAAUUGUAUUCAUGAAACAUUUCCUUAAUGUGUGACCAAAAAGCUAUUCCCUUUUUCAUUUUCACUUUGAUUUCGCUACUCUAGAUUUUUGUUUAUUAUGUGUGAAUCUGGAUCUCAAAAGAAAUUCUCUCAACAUUUCUUCUUUGUCAUAUUUGCUCUAGAUUAUUUUUUUUCAUAUUUGCCGUUUACUCAAUUUAAGAAGUUUCCGUUUAUUCUUUGUAAAAUGACUUUUUAAAUGACUAGCCAUUGGACUUUGUCAAGUGCUUUUUAUUUAUUUAUUGUAAUGAUCAUAUGAUUUGUUUCCUGUCAGUCUCAACAUAGGAAAGUUCAUUGGUUUUUGACAUUUUUUUUUUUUUUACUGAUUUUUGACUGUUCAACUGGCUAUCAUUGGACUAUUAUUUGAGAUAACCUAAUUUGUUCAUGAUUUGUUCUCCUUUACAUAUAAUCUGCUGGAGUUAGUUGACUCCUAGUUUAUUUAGAACUUUAAUGUCUCCUUUUAUGAGACUUCAGCCCAUAAUUUUGCUUUCUUAUCUCUCUCAUCAGAUCUUCACAAUAUCCUGGGUAGCCUUAUGUUGUGAGGUGGAAGUCUCUACUCUUCUGUGGUAGUGCUAAGUUGCCAGUGGAAACUGCCCAUGGGCCACAUGAGAGACCACGGAUCCUGUAAUGCUGGGAGGCAUAAAGCUGGCACAGAAGUGCUGCAGAGAGGCUGUCACCAGUUAGAGGGAAGGAGCCAGAGAAGCAAGAGGUGUGGCAACAGCCAAGGGUCUUCAAAGGUAGAUGGACUGUGCACUCCCUUCCUGAAUGGGAGACCAGCACAGAGACCUUGGGGGCACGCCCUGCCCAGCCCUGCCCAGCCUCGCCCAGGCUCCAGCCGGAGGCUCCGCCCCAGGCCAUGGCCUUCCACUUGCUCACGUGACCAUGCCACAGGCAUGCAGAGAGGCAGGCUGAGCUCUGCCAGGCCAGCAGGGUCCGUGCCAGGCCUGGUGGACUUCGAGGACAAGGAGCAGGUGAAGGCCUUUCUGGAGAACGUGGUGGAGUGCAAGUACCAGUGCUACUGUGAGAAGGACCCGAAUGAUUCAUGAAAAGCUCUACUACUAUGAGAAGUAGAACCCUGUGCCCAUCCUCCACAGCACAGCAGUCUUGGCUGAUGAUGUAAGUGUGCCUUUCGGAGCUCCCUGCCACCCGGCUCCCUUGGGCCCGGUCCUGAGCAGAGCUCUUCCUGGCGCAGACACAAGUGUGAGAUCCUGGGAGUGAAAACCAGAAGCCGCUGCAAAUGUUUCCAAAAGUCCUGUCACCGAGGACCUUAUGCGGAUACUGUGCUGAUUUGCAUUCACUCUCCUGCUCAAAAAAUUGUGCGUGGGGAUGUCCUCUGUUCUACCUGGGUAGCUACAGUAGCAGAAGUCUAAGGCUAGAACUCUCUGGGCAGAGAGAAACUGUCGGCUACUAGUGUUCUGAGAAAGGCACAGGCAGGAGGAAUGCUUUGGAGAAAUAAAGACAAAUGAGCUAGGUCUGUUGCUGACAGUGCUAAAAACUGACAGAUACGCUAGUGUCGGAACGAGGCCUGAUGAAAUACAUAAAAAGACAGGAUUGUUUUCAAAAUGAAGUAUAAAGCAUCAUAAUGAUUUAUGGAUAUUAGACCUUUCCACAUUACCUUCAUAACCAAAGAAUAAAUGACAGAAGCAGUUAGCAUUGAUGGAGUAAUCUCCUGUAGCUAUCAUUUUAUUUUCAAUCUUGGAAUGAAUUACCUUGCUGUUCCUUGCCGUUCACUUUCAAACUCAGAUGAAUUGAAAGCACACCUGGAUAAACUGUAAAGGACACUGAGCCAGAGGAGAAAUAGGUCUCCUGUGAAGGUUGGUUUUUGUGAUCUCCUUGAGCUUAUCUGUUGCUUUCUAAAUGUUUUCCUUGUUUAUGAUUUAAAAAGGAAUGGAGUUCAGCUUAAAUAUCGGGGCCAUAUAAUUUUAAAAAAAUCAUCUUCAGAAGUUGAUUUUCUUAUAUGUGUUUUCUAUUUUAUUUUAUUUGUAAAAGAUUUUACUUAUUGAUUUGUGAGAGACACAGAGACACAGGCAGAGGGAGAAGCAGGCUCCCCAUAAAAAGCCCAAUGUGGGGCUGGAUCCUGGGCCAGAAUCACGCCCUGAGCCAAAGUUAGACACUCAGCUUCUCAAUCACCCAGGUGUCCCUGUGUUUCCUAUUUUAAUUUAGAUAAUAAGGCAUAUGUCAUCAAUCUCGAAGUGAUUUGCUAUUUGGUUAGUCCCCCAGACUCCUUUCAGGUUUUAUCCACAGAUUAGAAAUUAUAGGGAUCUUUCACUUUAUGUGUUUUAUGCGGAUGCUUAUUCAUCUGCUCCUCUUGGUUCUUCAUUAGAGAACCAAACUUUUUGAAGUGAAGUUGAGUAAAGGUAUAGACAGAAUUCUAGUAAGGGGCAGUUGCCACUUGAGGAAGUCUUAAGAAGUCACUUUAUUUUUUUUAACUCUUUUUUUUAAGAUUUUAUUUAUUCAUAAGAGACACAGAGAGAGAGAGACAAAGAGACAGAGAGAAAGUCAGAGACACAGGCAGAGGGAGAAGCAGGCAGGGAGCCCACAGUGGGACUUGAUCCUGUCGGAUCAAGCCUUGGCCCAAAGGCAGUGCUAAACUGCUGAGCCACUCAGGCUGCCCAAUUUUUAAAACCUUUUUAUCAGGGACGCCUGGGUGGCUCAGUGCUUAAGCAUCAGCCUUCAGCCCAGGGUGUGAUCCUGGAGUCCCGGGAUCGAGUAGCACUUUGGGCUCGCUGCAUGGAGCCUGUUUCUCUUUCUGCCUAUGUCUCUGCCUCUGUCUGUCUCUCUGUCUCAUGAAUAAAUAAAAUCUUUAAAAAAUCCAUCAAAUGCCUCUUUUGUGCCAACCACGGGACUAUGUGCCUUGUUCUUUUGCAUUCUUAUAACAGUCAUAUUAACCACCACUUGUCUUGCUUUAACUGUACUUUGAGAUAACUGUGGAUUCAUGUGUUGAAAUACAUAAUACAGAUCCCGUGUACACUUGACCCUGCUUCCUCAUCUCGCAUAGUUAUGGUGACCAUGUGGGUACAUCGCCACUAACGUAGUCCCUUAGGCUUUUUCAGAUUUUACAUACCUUGUGUAAGUGCAUACGUUUGUGUAUUUUUUCCUGUCCAGUUUACUACAUGUGUAGAUUACCGUUUCUUUUGAACAUAUGAUGGAAAGAAGGCUGAGGUAAGUUAUGGGAGGUAAAUGAAGUAUAGACCUGGUUUGACUCUAGGUCUGUUUGACUCAGAGUUUUGAUUUUUCAAUAGCAGUAGCGAUGGACACUCCUGGUUGGUGCAGUGGGUUGAGUGUCUGACUCUUGGUCUCAGCUCCAGCCAUGAUCAGGGUCAUGAUUUGGAGCUUCGUGUCAAGCUCCAUGCUGAGCGUGGAGUCUGCUUAAGAUUCUGUCUCUCUCUGCCCCUGUCCCCUGCCUCUCUGUAAAAUAAAUUAAUCUUUAAAAAAUAAUAGUCAUGAUGAAUAACUAAUAAUAACAACAAUAGCUGAAGCUCACUGAGUUACAUAUGAAACAGACUAUUUGGGACACCUUACAAAUAUUUUUAUGAAAUCAUCAAUAAGUGCUAGGUUAGGCAUGAUGCCAGGUUUUUAAGGGAAUAAGUGUAAAUCAUCAAGAAUACUUAGAAUGUAAUAGGGAGACAUUUUCUUCCCCCUAAAGUAGAAUAGAUCUUUAUGGCCACAUGCAAUCCCAGGAAUGUUUGAGUUUAAUGUCUCAAGUUACAGAUCCAACUUUCCAAGGGAAAAUGAAUACAUUUGGUGAAUGAUCACUGAUUAUCAGAAUAUGAUAAUACUUUAGGAAGAUAAUAGACUAAUCAGCAGGCCAUAAUUUACGAUUCUUUUAGUUACAUAUCUUGUAAAGCUGUCCCUGUGAUGAACAGCAGCACUUCUUCAGAGCAGGAAUUACAACAUGCUCCUGUGUCGUAGAUCCCAGGAGGUUUCGGUGCUCUUGUAGACAGCAGACAGAAAUAAAAGGAAGUUUCUCCUUUUUUACCUUGUAUAAUCCCACUGGAAAGUGAAACGUGUGCUGAGAGUUGAUACUUCUAGGUCACCUCCCUGAAGAGGCCCCGGGCAGGCACUGUCGUAACAGUUCUUGGACAGGACUGACGGCCCCCAAAGGAGGUGGGAGGGUUUCUGCAACAGGCUACUGGUGGAACAGGGCACUACUGUCUAGCCCCAAGAAGCUUCUAGUGAGGAGGGCCCCGAGGAACCUGCAUCCUUUUCCUUAACUCUUUCAGAGGUUACGGCAUAUGCUCAGAUUGGAGUUAAAGGUAAACUCAGUUCUGUGUAGCUUGUGGUUGUUGCUUUUGAAAAAUGAGCAGCUACAAGAAAGCAACACCAAGUAUGGUUUAGUAGGCCUUAGCUUUUUGGAACUUGAAUUUGGAUGUAGAUAACCCAAAUGGUUUUGAAGCUAUAUAUCAUUAGGAACUCUUUGGAAACCACAAAACCUUUUUAAUGGGCCACUCUAUCAAUUUUCUGCUCUUCUAAGGAAGUUAUUCCUAUUCAUGACUCCUUUUGAUCUUUGGCUAACACUGAGACAAUAGUAGUGACAAUUUAGUUUUCUUCUUCCUCUGAAAGCUUGUACACGUUUUCUGCCUCGGGUUGUGUCCACUUGGAUGCCUGGAGAAUGUUGACAAACGAAAGGUUAGGCUAGCCUGUUGAUGCUGCAUAUUUGAUUGGGCUGUAAAAGUCAAAAAGGUUCCUUGGCUUCCGCGGAGAAGCGUUCUGCUUGAUGGUCCAGAAUACUGAUCCAGUAAAAACGACAUGUUCCAGCCAUCCUUCACACACACCUUAAGUGAAAUUAAUGAGAUCACUCUAUGAUUACGCUUUGUG